UACAGAGGGUGCGAGCGUUAAUCGGAAUUACUGGGCGUAAAGCGCGCGUAGGCGGAUUUGCAAGUCGGGGGUGAAAUCCCGAGGCUCAACCUCGGAACUGCCUUCGAUACUGCAAAUCUCGAGUCCGGAAGAGGUGAGUGGAAUUCCUAGUGUAGAGGUGAAAUUCGUAGAUAUUAGGAAGAACACCAGUGGCGAAGGCGGCUCACUGGUCCGGUACUGACGCUGAGGCGCGAAAGCGUGGGGAGCAAACAGG
rnacentral:rRNA from 1 species